AAAGGGAUUGCACUUGCUAAACUCCCCCAUUUCGGGUUGAUUGCGCUUUAUGCGGUGGAUUCCUCAGCAGGAGUAUAAUUCUCUAUAAAGCGAAAAGAGGGUGUCUGAAGAUACCUCCCCAGGAAAGCCUUUGCUGGAUGAACAGCUCUGACCCAUCCCCAUCGAUUUGCUUGCGAAGCCACUGAAAACAAAAGAGCCUGACGACAGGGGAAGCCCCAACUUGGACAAGAAAAAUAUGUCAGCAUGAAAAUGGUUAAUGAUUGCAUUUUAAAUCAAAAUGUGCUCCAUGACUGACUGCUUUGCAGCACUAGGUUAAUCCCGUUUAUUCAGC